GCCGAGAUAGCUCAGUUGGUAGAGCACAUCCAUGGUAAGGAUGGGGUCCCGGGUUCAAGUCCCGGUCUCGGCU
rnacentral:tRNA from 2 species